UUCUCUCAUACACGAGGCAGACAGCAGCAGAGCCGGUCAUACCAGGCGAAUCGGAUGACCAAACAAAGCAAACCCGAAGAAAAGACUAGCAGAGGGCCGUGGGUAACGACAGAGACGUCCGCAGGCAGCCCGGUAGUCACGGGCGAAUCCAGGUCCGACCGAUAAGCUGUGAACCGAGGGGGGAAACUCCCUUUGAGGGUAAAAUACAUGGAGCUCCGGUUGGUUUUUUUUUCUUUGAUAGUUUGAAACUGCUGUACGAGAAAGAGACGAUUGAGAUGGCGAGCCCAGCCCAACGAUUCUGAAGAGAAAGACGAUUGAGAUGGCGAGCCCAGCCCAACGAGUCUGAGAGAACGUGAGAGAGUUGGAGCUGCAGUGUGGCCAGCUGCAGAACCUACAUUCCUCAUUGAAUCCGGAUCAUCUGAAUCUCACAUAUCGAGAGCAGAUAAGAUACACACAUACUCCUCACCUACCCGGGUAGUAGUUAUAACAGAAAAGACUGAGGACAAAGAGUCUCAGUUGACACAAAUACACAGAACAUACACAUUGGAUCCUCCGAGAGGAAUCACCAGACCUGAGCAGGAGAGCUCAGUGUCCCAGGACUCUUUAUUUGUCUUGCGUUUUAUUUUUUUUGUUGUUGUUUUCGAGCGCUUUGUGGUGGGUAAACGUGCACAACCCAUAUGUGAAUGUUUAUUAUUUUGUUUUUUUAUUGAUAUUAAAAUAUCACCUGUUCAA